UUUUGUUAGGUUACUAUUAUUUUUGGUUUCAGGCGGCAACCCAGGGAGUUACCUCCAGACUGUAUCUCAAUUGGAGUCACUACUGAACUUGUAUAUCUCAGUGGGAGUCACCCGCGCAAAGUCGCCACAGCUGGGCCAUAUUAAUUACAACUGUCUAAUUAUUUUUUAUAUGCAUGCAAAUGUCUUCAAGUGUAAAGAUUCAAUUACUAGCAAGCAUAAACAAAGUUGGCACCGACAUCCGUGAAGGGGGAAGGAGGACCAGGGAGAAGGAGGAAGACGACCAGGGGAGAAGGUGGUCGAUGGAGAAGAGGAGAAAGAGGAGGGAGGAAAAGAAGAUAUCAGCAGAUCAUCGCUUCCCAAUGCUUCCACUUGCUGUGCAACUUUCAUUAAUUUGUGGAUAUUGACUCCAAGGUCUUCAUCACUCUGCUGCCAGGUACAGAUGUUAAAAAAAAGGACUGGAAAAGGUGGAAAUUUGCCAGAAAUCAUGAAUGGCACUGCCAGACGAGUGCACAAAAGUGAACACACAGCAGGCUAGUACCGCAAAGUUAACAAAGUGGAUCUAUGGAUGUAGUCAUAUAGAUCACAUUGUAAAACACAUCUGGUGAAGAAAAUAAUUGAAUUUGUAUGUGGUCAUUAUGAACAUGAGAAAGCAGUUUACCAAAAUGAGUGGAGUGGACCAUUUAGUGUUUAUGAACAGAGAAUUGGUUUUUAAUGUUCUAUGAAGUGGGUCAUGUGUCUUGAGCUACUUGUGUGAAGGGUGAUUGACAUUACACCGUAUUGAGAAUACCAAUGUAAUGUAAUGUCCAUAUAGGUAUCUACCGAUACAUAAAUGGAGGUGUUGAUGCAAGAGUUUACAUUAUAGAAAUAUAUGCUGUUCUGUGAUAAAAAUAAUGUUACUGUAUAUUGUACAUAAAUUAAAAGUGACACGAAGGGAAGAAAAAUAUACUCACAAAGAUAAAAAAUUCCAAGAGCCAAGGUGGCAAGAGUAAAGUUUGUCCAAUUGCAAGCUAAAGAUUAAUUUUAAAAUACCUCAGUGUGUGUGGAAUUAAUGAGAAAUUCAUGCAAAUGCCUGCUAGCAAAGCUAGUCAAGUUGGGAGCAUGACCUGUAAAUUGAUAGUAGUAUUAUUCACACUGUCACUGCUAAAAUUAAGCCAAGAUGAACACUUAGUUGGUUCAAAAAAUAUUAUAAGCACAAUUAAAGAUUACUAGUAUCUUCACUAUUUUUGUUGCUUGUAAUUAUUGAUUUCAAAUUACAGUAUACUAUUUAUUUCAACUUGUCUGAGAAGAUAAAGUAUAUUUUUUGGGGGUUUAGGUUAAAAAGGCUUCUCAUUCAAGAUUAAAGCGAAUAAGCUAACACUGCCCCGAACAUGAGGAAUCAAAAGAUUGGCAAUCUGAAAAGGAAAUCAUCAACCCAUACAGGAUAGGGAUAGAAUAUGGAAUCAUGUUGUAAACAGGAUGAGGAAGUUUACAAAUUUCAAGAUUUAACCAUGUAUUGAGGUGGUUUGAUUACAUUAACUUACUGCAUGAAGAAAGCCAUGAUAAUAUGUUAUACAUGAUUAUGAUAGUUCACAUGUAAAUGUGCAAGGCUGUUUUAAUAUUAGUCUGUAUCUCGAUACUUUGUCAGUACUUUACUGAUCUUCCUAUUGUCAUUAUGUGGGAAAUCCAAGUCAAUAACAGUUUUUAUCAUGACAUUCUUGCUUUUUCCCACCAAAGUGUAACAAAUGCUUUCACAUGGCUGACCUUGGCUGUUAAUAAAUUUCACAUAUGUAGCAUCAAUAUCCAUACCUAUAUUCUUUUACUGUAUUAGCAUGCAUUUCUGCAAUGCGGGAAUCAUCUUUUUAUUCAUUAAAUUUAUUUAGCUUGGUCU
rnacentral:lncRNA from 1 species